rnacentral:rRNA from 1 species
AGAUUGAACGCUGGCGGCAUGCCUAACACAUGCAAGUCGAACGGGAGUAGCAAUACUCUAGUGGCGGACGGGUGAGGAAUACGUAGGAAUUUGCCCUUAAGUGGGGGAUAACCCGGGGAAACCCGGAUUAAUACCGCAUGACCUCGAAAGAGCAAAGUGGGGGAUCGCAAGACCUCACGCUUUUGGAGAAGCCUACGUCGGAUUAGCUAGUUGGUGAGGUAAUGGCUCACCAAGGCGACGAUCCGUAACUGGUCUGAGAGGAUGAUCAGUCACACCGGAACUGAGACACGGUCCGGACUCCUACGGGAGCAGCAGUGGGGAAUAUGGACAAUGGGCGCAAGCCUGAUCCAGCAAUGCCGCGUGUGUGAAGAAGGCCUUCGGUUGUAAAGCACUUUAAGUUAGGGAAGAAAAACUACGCUACUAACAACAGUGAGUCUUGACGGUACCGACAGAAUAAGCACGGACUAACUCUGCGUCAGCAGCCGC